rnacentral:rRNA from 1 species
ACGCUCGACACCUACGGGAUGCAGCAGUGAGGAAUAUUGGUCAAUGGACGCAAGUCUGAACCAGCCAUGCCGCGUGCAGGAUGACGGCUCUAUGAGUUGUAAACUGCUUUUGUACGAGGGUAAACGCAGAUACGUGUAUCUGUCUGAAAGUAUCGUACGAAUAAGGAUCGGCUAACUCCGUGCCCGCAGCCGCGGUAAUCUGAGCGGGCUGGCAAGGC